AAGGUUUGCAAGUCAUUUUUACAGACAUCAUUUUCUUCUCACAACCACCCUGGGAGGUGGGUGUCAUUAUUAGUUCCAUUUUACAGAUGAAGAAACCAAGGCAGACAGAAGGACUCAAGAAACCCCAUAAAACUUCAGAUCUGGAAGGGACCUAGGAGGAAAGCAAGCCUACCCAUCCUGAUAAAGGAAGAAGCCACUUCUUUACCUGAUCUUGAGACAACUUAAAAGAAGAAAACAAAACUCAAAACUAUACUCUAUUUGGGAACUACAUUGGUUACCCCUAAACUGCCUGGUUUCUUCUACAUAAAGCCACCUGCAUUUACUGCCAAACAAGUGAGACAAAGAAGGAUGGUUCAAUAAAUCAAGAAUCACUGAAGUCCAGACGACUGGCGAUGGUCCAGGAUGCAGUGGAUGACCGUGGCCUUUCCUGGGCCUCCGUUUGUCUUAUUCAAUUCCUAUUCAAUGAAUAAAAGCUGGGUUUGAAUUGAAA